rnacentral:misc_RNA from 1 species
GCAAACUUGGUCAUUUAGAGGAAGUAAAAGUCGUAACAAGGUUUCCGUAGGUGAACCUGCGGAAGGAUCAUUAAUGAACUUGGCUGGGUUGUUGCUGGCUCUUUGGAGCAUGUGCACACCUACUCCAUUUCAACCACCUGUGCACCUUCUGUAGACAUGGAACAACUCUCGAGUUUAUUCGGAUUUUAGAGGAUUGCUGUGCGGAAGCCAGCUUUUCUUGUGUUUCUAGUCUAUGUUUUUACAAUAUACCCCAUAAAAAUGUAACAGAAUGUUGCUAUAGGCCUUUUGUGCCUUUAAAAACAAUACAACUUUCAACAACGGAUCUCUUGGCUCUCGCAUCGAUGAAGAACGCAGC